CACCCUUGCCGGCGACUCCAACUCGUGGUGGCUGGUGCCCGUGAUGGUGCUCGGCGCAUGCGCAGGCCUCGUCUUGCUCGCUGUCGCCGCUCUGGGCACCACGUACACCUACCGAACCGUGAUCGCGCGCAUCGCAGCGGCGGAAAAAGCAGCGAGCCAACAUAUCGCGGACCUCGGCAACCGGACCGUACUCUUGACGGAAGAUGACGGUAUGUCGGCGUUCUCUAAGCCUGCUUGUGUGUGUGUUACUUCUUUUU
rnacentral:lncRNA from 1 species